ensembl:snoRNA LOC120094928 small nucleolar RNA SNORA17
CCUGCCCCUAGAAGGUGUGGAUGCUAUGUCACAUGUGUGCCAGUAGGUGGCAGAGAGGAGAGAGAGGCUUUGUCUGUGCUCAGAGUCUGACCUUUGAGCGUGUGAAUGAUUGGUGGCCUAAAGCU